GGGGUUGUAGCUCAGUGGUAGAGCACUCACCUCACAUGUGGAAGGCAAUGGGUUUGAUUCUCAGCACCA
rnacentral:tRNA from 1 species